rnacentral:rRNA from 1 species
AGUGAACGCUGGCGGUAGGCCUAACACAUGCAAGUCGAACGGCAGCACAGUAAGAGCUUGCUCUUACGGGUGGCGAGUGGCGGACGGGUGAGGAAUACAUCGGAAUCUACUUUUUCGUGGGGGAUAACGUAGGGAAACUUACGCUAAUACCGCAUACGACCUACGGGUGAAAGCAGGGGAUCUUCGGACCUUGCGCGAUUGAAUGAGCCGAUGUCGGAUUAGCUAGUUGGCGGGGUAAGGCCCACCAAGGCGACGAUCCGUAGCCGGUCUGAGAGGAUGAUCAGCCACACUGGAACUGAGACACGGUCCAGACUCCUACGGGAGGCAGCAGUGGGGAAUAUUGGACAAUGGGCGCAAGCCUGAUCCAGCCAUACCGCGUGGGUGAAGAAGGCCUUCGGGUUGUAAAGCCCUUUUGUUGGGAAAGAAAAGCAGCAGGUUAAUACCCCGCUGUUCUGACGGUACCCAAAGAAUAAGCACCGGCUAACUUCGUG